rnacentral:rRNA from 1 species
UACGAAGGGUGCUAGCGUUGCUCGGAAUCACUGGGCGUAAAGCGCACGUAGGCGGAUUGUUAAGUCGGGGGUGAAAUCCUGGAGCUCAACUCCAGAACUGCCUUCGAUACUGGCGAUCUUGAGUCCGGGAGAGGUGAGUGGAACUCCGAGUGUAGAGGUGAAAUUCGUAGAUAUUCGGAAGAACACCAGUGGCGAAGGCGGCUCACUGGCCCGGUACUGACGCUGAGGUGCGAAAGCGUGGGGAGCAAACAGG